AGCGAUGGGGGGCAGCUAGACAUGCAGUCGAGCGGUAGCACAGAGAGCUUGCUCUCGGGUGACGAGCGGCGGACGGGUGAGUAAUGUCUGGGAAACUGCCUGAUGGAGGGGGAUAACUACUGGAAACGGUAGCUAAUACCGCAUAAUGUCGCAAGACCAAAGUGGGGGACCUUCGGGCCUCAUGCCAUCAGAUGUGCCCAGAUGGGAUUAGCUAGUAGGUGGGGUAACGGCUCACCUAGGCGACGAUCCCUAGCUGGUCUGAGAGGAUGACCAGCCACACUGGAACUGAGACACGGUCCAGACUCCUACGGGAGGCAGCAGUGGGGAAUAUUGCACAAUGGGCGCAAGCCUGAUGCAGCCAUGCCGCGUGUGUGAAGAAGGCCUUCGGGUUGUAAAGCACUUUCAGCGGGGAGGAAGGCGAUAAGGUUAAUAACCUUGUCGAUUGACGUUACCCGCAGAAAGAAGCACCGGCUAACUCCGUGCCAGCAGCCGCGGUAAUACGGAGGGUGCAAGCGUUAAUCGGAAUUACUGGGCGUAAAGCGCACGCAGGCGGUCUGUCAAGUCGGAUGUGAAAUCCCCGGGCUCAACCUGGGAACUGCAUUCGAAACUGGCAGGCUAGAGUCUUGUAGAGGGGGGUAGAAUUUCCAGGUGUAGCGGUGAAAUGCGUAGAGAUCUGGAGGAAUACCGGUGGCGAAGGCGGCCCCCUGGACAAAGACUGACGCUCAGGUGCGAAAGCGUGGGGAGCAAACAGGAUUAGAUACCCUGGUAGUCCACGCCGUAAACGAUGUCGAUUUGGAGGUUGUGCCCUUGAGGCGUGGCUUCCGGAGCUAACGCGUUAAAUCGACCGCCUGGGGAGUACGGCCGCAAGGUUAAAACUCAAAUGAAUUGACGGGGGCCCGCACAAGCGGUGGAGCAUGUGGUUUAAUUCGAUGCAACGCGAAGAACCUUACCUGGUCUUGACAUCCACAGAAGCUUAGCAGAGAUGCUUUGGUGCCUUCGGGAACUGUGAGACAGGUGCUGCAUGGCUGUCGUCAGCUCGUGUUGUGAAAUGUUGGGUUAAGUCCCGCAACGAGCGCAACCCUUAUCCUUUGUUGCCAGCGGUUAGGCCGGGAACUCAAAGGAGACUGCCAGUGAUAAACUGGAGGAAGGUGGGGAUGACGUCAAGUCAUCAUGGCCCUUACGACCAGGGCUACACACGUGCUACAAUGGCAUAUACAAAGAGAAGCGACCUCGCGAGAGCAAGCGGACCUCAUAAAGUAUGUCGUAGUCCGGAUUGGAGUCUGCAACUCGACUCCAUGAAGUCGGAAUCGCUAGUAAUCGUAGAUCAGAAUGCUACGGUGAAUACGUUCCCGGGCCUUGUACACACCGCCCGUCACACCAUGGGAGUGGGUUGCAAAAGAAGUAGGUAGCUUAACCUUCGGGAGGGCGCUACCGUAGUGUAUCCACCCGG
rnacentral:rRNA from 1 species